GGCUGGUCCGAAGGUCAUGAGCUAUUUCACUUGAUUGCUCACAGUCAGUUACAGAUUGAAUUCCUUGUUCUACUACUUUCCGCCCCUUCUCACUACCACACUUCACUAGUCUAAA
rnacentral:Y_RNA from 1 species